rnacentral:misc_RNA from 1 species
UCUGACAGGGAGGUCAAGGAU